UACGAGGGGGGCUAAUGUUGUUCGGAAUCACUGGGCGUAAAGGGAGCGUAGGCGGGCGUUUAAGUUCGGUGUUUAAUCCCAGGGCCCAACCCUGGUCAGGCACCUAAAACUGGACAUCUUGAAUAGUGGAGAGGACGAUGGAAUUGGGGGUGUAGCGGUGGAAUGCGUAGAGAUCCCCAAGAACACCAGUUGCGAAGGCGGUCGUCUGGACACAUAUUGACGCUGAGGCUCGAAAGCAUGGGGAGCAAACAGG
rnacentral:rRNA from 1 species